ACUCUUUCUAUGCAGCCACACAUUUAAUGCACUGAUAGUGUAUAAAGAGAACAGAAUAACACAAUGAACACCACACACCAUAGGCUGCUGCCAGCAGAGACCCUGACCAAAGCAUCAGUAUUCCAUUCCAACUGUUAGUGCUGGGCAACUCCUGAUGAUCAAUCUGAAUCAACACAACCCACAGGAAGAUUGGGUCUACUUCCCAGCAGAUUUUCUGAAGAAGACGCUGGCCAUGCAGAAGCAGCGUGGAGCGAGGACUCUGACCUGCACUCAGGUUGGCUCUGGUUCAGACCAUGCCUCUGAGAAGAAAGUCAGCUUGGAGCAGUGAGUACAGGCAAGGUCAAGGCUUCUCCAUCACCACAUGAAAGUAACUAUCCACGAAUGCCCUCCCGAGACUGAGGAAGCCUAGUCUCACACGGGCAGAAAGAGUCUGCUGAGCCCCAGGUGUUCCCAGAACGUGGCACUCAGCAGUGGAGAAUCUAUUCCUGAACAGAAACGCUGUCUUACCCCUGGUAGAAGAAAGGCAUCUGCGGCAGCCAGAGGUAGUGACUGUUCUAACGGGGCAAAGGACAAAUGGGAACAGUGUUGGAGCCUGUAUGACUGUGUCAGCAUUCUUCUCGUUCACCCUCUCAGAAAUAAACAAUUGAAAGCACA